rnacentral:rRNA from 1 species
GACAGAGGGUGCAAACGUUGUUCGGAAUUACUGGGCGUAAAGCGCGUGUAGGCGGCUCGGCAAGUCGGGUGUGAAAGCCCUGGGCUUAACCUAGGAAGUGCACUCGAAACUGCCAAGCUUGAGUUCUGGAGAGGAAGGCGGAAUUCUCGGUGUAGAGGUGAAAUUCGUAGAUAUCGAGAGGAACACCGGUGGCGAAGGCGGCCUUCUGGACAGCAACUGACGCUGAGACGCGAAGCGUGGGGAGCAAACAGG